rnacentral:rRNA from 1 species
AUACGGAGGGUGCAAGCGUUACUCGGAAUCACUGGGCGUAAAGCGCGCGCAGGCGGCUUGAUAAGUUGGAUGUGAAAGCCUACGGCUCAACCGUAGAACUGCAUCCAAAACUGUCAGGCUAGAGUGUGGGAGAGGAAGAUGGAAUUAGUUGUGUAGGGGUAAAAUCCGUAGAGAUAACUAGGAAUACCAAAAGCGAAGGCAAUCUUCUGGAACACUACUGACGCUGAGGCGCGAAGGCGUGGGGAGCAAACAGGAGUAGAAACCCCAGUAGUCC